rnacentral:ncRNA from 1 species
UUAGUAGUGGCGAGCGAACGCGGACUAGGCCAGUGGUCUAUGGUUAAGAACGAAAACAGUCUGGAAAGGCUGGCCAGAGUGGGUGAUAGCCCCGUAUCGGUAGAAAUUCCAUAGAUCCUUGAGUAAGGCGGGACACGUGUAAUCCUGUCUGAACAUGGGGGGACCACCCUCCAAGCCUAAGUACUCCUCGAAGACCGAUAGUGCACCAGUACCGUGAGGGAAAGGUGAAAAGCCCCGAUGAGGGAGUGAAACAGACCUGAAACCGGAUGCCUACAAGCAGUAGGAGCUCGAAAGAGUGACUGCGUACCUUUUGUAUAAUGGGUCAGCGAGUUCGUCUAUGCAGCAAGCUUAAGCCGUUAGGUGUAGGCGCAGCGAAAGCGAGUCUGAAGAGGGCGUCAGAGUUGCAUGGAUGAGACCCGAAACCGAGUGAUCUAGCUAUGGGCAGGUUGAAGGUGCAGUAACAUGCACUGGAGGACCGAACCCACGUCUGUUGAAAAAGACGGGGAUGACCUGUUGCUAGGGGUGAAAGGCCAAUCAAACUCGGAAAUAGCUGGUUCUCCGCGAAAGCUAUUUAGGUAGCGCGUCGGACGAUUGCCGCCGGGGGUAGAGCACUGGAUGGGCUAGGGGGAUGCGAAUCUUACCAAACCCAACCAAACUCCGAAUACCGGUGAGUACAGUCCGGCAGACAGUCCCAGGGUGCUAAG